UUUUGGACAAUGGGGGCAACCCUGAUCCAGCAAUGCCGCGUGAGUGAAGAAGGCCUUCGGGUUGUAAAGCUCUUUUGUCAGGGAAGAAACACCGGCUCUAACACAGUCCGGGAAUGACGGUACCUGAAGAAUAAGCACCGGCUAACUACGUGCCAGCAGCCGCGGUAAUACGUAGGGUGCAAGCGUUAAUCGGAAUUACUGGGCGUAAAGCGUGCGCAGGCGGUUAUACAAGACAGGCGUGAAAUCCCCGGGCUUAACCUGGGAAUGGCGCCUGUGACUGUAUAGCUAGAGUGUGUCAGAGGGGGGUAGAAUUCCACGUGUAGCAGCGAAAUGCGUAGAUAUGUGGAGGAAUACCAAUGGCGAAGGCAGCCCCCUGGGAUAACACUGACGCUCAUGCACGAA
rnacentral:rRNA from 1 species